AGCAAAGACAGGUUACACUACCAUUACAUGAAGACAGUCUCAUUGGCUUCUGGGGGGUUAGCCAUGGAAGUAACCUGCUCAUACAUGACUCAGAUGAAUUCUCAAAUGAGGAAGCUCAUCCUUCUGGUGUGUGCGAGUAUGCUGUGACAGAGAUUUCUGGGUUAUUAUUGUUUUGUUUGGUGGUAUGGGGCAGAGGAACACAGGCCCCCAUCUCCCUCCCCCUCCCAAGAAGCAUACUGGAAGAGUUUUGGCAAACUUUUGGAGGCAUUUCACUUUCUCUAUUUUUGGGAGAUUUUUGACCUUUCUUAAAGACUUUAAUUGUCUGGGAUUGUCACAUCUAAUUUCCUUAAAUAACCAUGAGAGGAAAAAAAUUGCCAAGAAAACGAAAGCCAUAAUGAAAUCUGCACUAUUUUGGGACACAGAAAGGAGCUUACAUACCACACCAAGUGUGUCAAGCCUGUGGAGAACUCAUCUGAGCCAAACUGUCAAAGUGCACUAGAUACAACCAAAUGCAAUAGGCUUAGUUGUGGUGGUUCUAAUGAAACAAAUGAAGAGAGAAAUAUAUGACAACCAGAGCUGGAUUUACAACACCGGCAGGCCUGUGAAGAAUGAAAAAGUAUCUGGAGGUACAAUGGUGGGUUUUAACUGAAACCAACUCAUGGGGGACUUGUGGGUAAUUCAUUCUUCUUGGCAUUUGAAAAAUUCAAGGCUGUGCG
rnacentral:lncRNA from 1 species